rnacentral:rRNA from 1 species
UACAGAGGAUGCAAGCGUUAUCCGGAAUGAUUGGGCGUAAAGCGUCUGUAGGUGGCUUUUUAAGUCCGCCGUCAAAUCCCAGGGCUCAACUCUGGACAGGCGGUGGAAACUACCAAGCUGGAGUACGGUAGGGGCAGAGGGAAUUUCCAGUGGAGCGGUGAAAUGCGUAGAGAUCGGAAAGAACACCAACGGCGAAAGCACUCUACUGGGCCGACACUGACACUAAGAGACGAAAGCUAGGGGAGCGAAUGGG